GAGCUUGCUCCUCUGAUUUAGCGGCGGACGGGUGAGUAACACGUGGGCAACCUGCCCUGUAGACUGGGAUAACUUCGGGAAACCGGAGCUAAUACCGGAUAAUCCAUUUUCCCUCAUGGUGAAAUGUUGAAAGGCGCUUCGGCGUCACUACAGGAUGGGCCCGCGGUGCAUUAGCUAGUUGGUGGGGUAACGGCCUACCAAGGCAACGAUGCAUAGCCGACCUGAGAGGGUGAUCGGCCACAUUGGGACUGAGACACGGCCCAAACUCCUACGGGAGGCAGCAGUAGGGAAUCUUCCACAAUGGACGAAAGUCUGAUGGAGCAACGCCGCGUGAGUGAUGAAGGUUUUCGGAUCGUAAAACUCUGUUGUAAGGGAAGAACAAGUACGUUAGGAAAUGAACGUACCUUGACGGUACCUUAUUAGAAAGCCACGGCUAACUACGUGCCAGCAGCCGCGGUAAUACGUAGGUGGCAAGCGUUGUCCGGAUUUAUUGGGCGUAAAGCGCGCGCAGGUGGUUUCUUAAGUCUGAUGUGAAAGCCCACGGCUCAACCGUGGAGGGUCAUUGGAAACUGGGGAACUUGAGUGCAGAAGAGGAUAGUGGAAUUCCAAGUGUAGCGGUGAAAUGCGUAGAGAUUUGGAGGAACACCAGUGGCGAAGGCGACUGUCUGGUCUGUAACUGACACUG
rnacentral:rRNA from 1 species